AAUGAACGUUGGCGGCGUGGAUUAGGCAUGCAAGUCGAGCGAGAAGUCCUUCGGGACGGACAGCGGCGAAAGGGAGAGGAAUACGUAGAAAUCUACCCCUGAGACCGGGAUAGCGUCGGGAAACUGGCAGUAAUACCGGAUAAUGUCUUAGGAACAAAGGUGUGAUUCCGCUUGGGGAUGAGUCUACGCCCUAUUAGCUAGUUGGUGGGGUAAUGGCCUACCAAGGCGAUGAUGGGUAGCGGGUGUGAGAGCAUGAUCCGCCUCACUGGGACUGAGAACUGCCCAGACACCUACGGGUGGCUGCAGUCGAGAAUCUUUGUCAAUGGACGAAAGUCUGAACAAGCGACGCCGCGUGCGGGAUGAAGGCCUUCGGGUUGUAAACCGCUGUCGUAGGGGAACAAAUGUACGGGGGUUCUCCCCUGUAUUUGAGUGAUCCUAGGAGGAAGGAGAGGCUAAGCUCGUG
rnacentral:rRNA from 1 species